AUGGCGCCGUGCCGCCUUCUUCCUCCAACUCCUGCCACUUCCACCACCCAUCCCCGCCGCCCCCACCGGCGCGCGGCGGAUAGCGAGGGCCGCUGCCCUCCGCGCUCCUCCUCUCGGCGCCUAGGGUAUGCAGGGCUGCGGAGCGCCGCCGCCUCUCCGUCCAUCCAUUACUCCCGUCGGAGAAAACCCUAUGUCCUCGUCGUUAUUCCUCCCCUCCGUAGUGCUCGACCCGUCUCCUGCGCACAGCCUCCGCAGUCAGUUCCGUUCGUGAUUCAGCAAGGGAGCGUAGAGAAGGCGCCCAACAUGUCCAGGAUAUCUAGUCUAGGAUCCUUGGAUGGAGUUCCUCUGGCUCCAGCAAUGGCACGAAAAGAAAAUCAUCCCUCUGUUUCUUUCCCUUUUACAUUUUUAUAUAAGGAGAAGUUUUUCUGGCAGUUGAGGUGGAGAAGAGACUGGCCAUACAAGUGA
rnacentral:rRNA from 1 species